GGCGAGACCAGCCGGCGCUGACCUCAGGGGCUGAGGGUCCGUCUGCCCCAGAAGAGAGGAGAAAAGGUGCGACAUAUGCAUCUAGCCAGAGUACGCUCACGACGCUAGCAAAAAAAAAAGAACAAUCAUGGAAACACAAAAAGCUACGAAAGCUGGGAUCUGGAGCAAAAGGACAAACUGCUGGAGGAAUUCAAUGAACUAGAAAAACUUAAAACGAUGGACAGCUGUUGGCUAUCAUGCAGGAGGACUUAAAAGUAAAAUAAAACAAAUACUGGAGUGCACGGAGGCAACCAACAGGGAGUUCACAGACAGAUUGGCCUGGCUGACGACGAACAUUGAAAAACUGACUAACUCUGUUGCAUUAAUAAAACACCUUGUUAACUGUAUAAAGCAUGUCUGCAUCAAUGUUAUCUUGUAUUUCCAUACAAUGUUACAUUAGGCUGUUACACAUCUACUGUCAGACAAGUACUUGCAUAAAUAGGUAAACCACCUUCAUACGAGCAAGGACAGAAAACAGGGCAAAGUGAGUAUACUUAUUUAUUCAGUAAGUUAUGAUAUUUGGUGAGUACAUUUCUAACUCUUCUGGCUUCAGUCUCAUUGCCGUCUGUUCUGAAAUUGUUAGGUUGGGUUCAGGAAGACAAUGAAAUAGCGCGCUGCCGUCUGUCAACGUUUUCAGAAGUCUCAGGUUACCCCAUCCACACUGAUCUGCCCGAGCAGCAUUUUCAAAAAUACCCACCCUGGAAAGCGUUUCUGGAAAGCUCUGGUUUCGGGGGACAAAAACGUUGUUUUCGUGUGGUCGGAGAGUAAUAACAAAGAGAAAAAGCUUCGGUUACGGAUUUAUCUGGUGUAGUGUGGAUGCAGCGUUAAUGAUAAUACAUCAUCAACAAGCUCUUGAUGGUAUCUAACUUAAUGAUAGGUUGAAGUCUUAGUCAAGGAUAUUAUCCCAUGAACUUCACUUAAUUUCCAGAGGUCACAACUGGCUGGGAUAAGAUCACAAUAUUUAAUGUAAAAGAGAAAAUACACCUGUUUUCCAAUUGUUAGCUAACAUUUCAAAUCAAUAUGCUUUCAUCAGGAUGAAAAUCAUAGCUGGAAGAAUACACCUUUCCCUAAGUGUUAAUGUCAUAACAGCAAAUUGACAGUACUGAUGUAAUGGAUAGUGGGGAGUCGGGGGAGAUCUAUCAACAUGCACAUGGGAAUGCUAUUGUUUCUGGGCAUGAGAAUAGAAAACAACAGAUUCUUGGAGUGAUGGUUCAUGGAUCAGAAGGCUUUGUGAGAUGUACUCUAGUUACAAUUGUCAAAAGCAGAGAAAGGAACUGUGGUUUAUACUUCAGAAUGUCUGGUACCAACUCUCAAGAUUCCAAAUGCAGAAAAUAAUCAGAUAUCUUUGUAGUGAGAUGCAGAUGGGCACAAUCUCAAAUACAUUUGAACACAUGUAUAGUGGAUUCUAGUUAAUUGGGACAGUGGGACCUGUACAUUUUGGCCCAAUUAAGUUAUUGCCCCAAUCAGACAAAGUUUCACUGAAAUAGUUUAAAAAUAUAUUUUUUAAAUUUACCAUUUAACUGAGUAAGAAAUUAGGUAUGUAAAUGAAAUACAGAGCAUGUUAGAAUGCUACCAAUACCACUACAGAACUAUAAAACUGUGUAUUAGUUCCUGGUAGUUAUCGAUGGAGGAAUUAAUCUAGUGUAUAUUGCCGUCUUCUUUUGAUUGAUCAUAACUAAACAAAAUCAGCACAGAUACCUAGUUCAGAUGUUGGACUGUCUUUAGACAAUGCUUAUGAUGAUCACAUCCUGAGAGAUACUCCAAAUCUUCAUUUUCACUGUAACACUCUGGAGGAUGAUCAAUACCUUAAAUUCUUCAUAGCUCCUAAUUUGUGAGGUAGUGAAAUCAUUUUAUUUUUAUUCCUUUGCUGUUUCUGUCAUCUCCAAGCCUGAACAAUAGAAACUGCAGUGAGCAGAACUGUUCUGAAUUGUCUUAAUGCUUAUUUCUUGCAACUAUCACUUACAAAAAUCCCUGCUUUUUGAACACAACUGAUGUUAUUUAAAAACUGUUCGGUUUAAGCAUGGUGUAGUGUCUAAUGGCCUCACAAUUGCAUGCGACUGAUGCUAGUUAGAAACUGUUUGGAAACAGCCUCCUGUCCCAAUUAAGUGGCAUAGUGCCCCAAAUAAACAGAGGGAAUACCAGCUAUUUUCUCAAUUAAUUUUUGUACUUUAAGAGUUAUACCAAAUAAGCAUCUUCUCCAAUUAAUCAAUGACCAAAUUAACCCAAUGAAUGAUCUUAUCUGGUGCCUUAUUAGUAUUGUGGUUAGUAUCGUGGUUAGUGCAAUGUUAUUACAGCUCUGAGCAUUAGAAUUCAGGAUUCAAUCCCUGCGUCCACUGUUCUCCCCAUGGAAUGCGUGAGUUUUCUCUGGGUGCACCAGUUUCCUUCUACAGUACAAAGACGUACCAGUUAGUGGGUUAAUCCGUAAUUGUAAAUUGGUUAGGGUUCAAUCGGGGGUUGCUAAGUGAUGUGGCUCAAGGAACCAGAAGGGCCUCUUCUGUGCUGUAUCUCUAAAUAAAAAUCUCUGAAUCCACAAAACGGCCAAAUUACAUCUUCUUAUUGAUAGCCAAACUUAGUUUAGUGUAGUACAGCCUUUCCUUGGAAAAUCAACAGGAUAAAAAUCAAGCUCAAGCAACAUAGCCAGUCUUGUACUAAAAUGACAUUAUUUGUGAUAUUGGAGCUUUCCUUGUGGUUCCAUUCAUCACAUUUUAAGUAACACAAGUUCGUUUUGAUCAAUUAACUUCUGCCUUGGUUUUUUUUUGGAAUGUCUCUGAAAUUAACUCCAGAGCACUGAUUUAGAAAAUGAAAUGAAUUAAUGUUAUAUAUUUAAUGAAAAUAAACAUUCAAUGAUGGCUUCAAUAAACUGAUUUGUUUUAAUUUUAUUCAAUGCAAUGUGCACUGGAAAGGAAUAAUUCAAGAUUUAUGAUGGAAGUUAAAGAGACAUAACUCAUUGUGCUUGGAAAUACACCAUAAUAGUUUUAGCAAGUUACUGAAAGCACAGAGACAAUCCUACAUUCUCAUGGAUGUAAACAUCAAGGCUGAUCAAGGAACUGCUGACAAAUCCAUUGAGAUUCUUCAUGUAUAUAAAUUAAUUGUCUACACUUUUAUUAGGAGUAGAUGAAGUCUAAAAUCAGUAGAGAUGUCUAAUACAUUGUCUCAAAUUUCAAUUUACAUAUUUUCUGGUGUGGCUUUUAAAUUUUCUUAUUUUCUAACAUUUAUAUUCUUGCUAUAUAUUGAAACACAAGAUCCAUUAAGCAUUUAUCUUUUUCAAAUUCCUCAGUAAUUAUUCUGCUUGUAUGAGCAAACUGUCUAUUGUGAUGAUGUCAGUCUUUACUGCCAAAAUGACCUUCUGCAUGUCAAGCAUUUUGACUUUCCUACUGUAUGCUAUAUGAUGGCUUCAAACUAGUUGAGCUAAUUUGUUUUUCAAAUACUAAGCUGAUUUAAGGGCAUACAUAUAAAGUGACCUGUGUAAAGUCUGUCCUGUGCACUUAUUUACAAUGUAUGGAGAAAUGGAAUGUUUACAGUACCUUACAACUUGCCUUUGUUUAAGUGUGACUGAAAAUUGAAAUGCAUAUUUUUCAGUUUGUUCUUGAAAUAUUUUAGUGCUCAUUGUUUUACAAUUAGUUUUCAUGGGCAAACUGUAAGAGAGAGUGAAAACAUGACAAUGCUUUAAGUUCUUUGAACUAUGGCUUGAUUAGGAAGAUUCACCACUGAUUUUUGAGAGGACUUGCUUGGAAAAGGCUUUUCCAUUUAAUCAAUGGUUGAAAAUUUGAUUCAAGAUAUUCUGGUCAAGAAAUAAUGUAUUUCAGUAAUAUCACUGGAUUAAAGAAGUGUAACUGCAUCUCCCAAAGCGCUGAUUUGUGAAUGAUUGAGGUGUCUAUGAGUUUAACCU